rnacentral:tRNA from 1 species
GGCGGAUGUAGCCAAGUGGAUCAAGGCAGUGGGCUGUGAAUCCACCAUGCGCGGGUUCAAUUCCCGUCGUUCGCC